rnacentral:rRNA from 1 species
AUUGAACGCUGGCGGCAGGCCUAACACAUGCAAGUCGAGCGAGCGGCGGACGGGCGAGCAAUGUAUGGGGCUCUGCCCGAUAGAGGGGGUUAACUACCGGAAACGGUGGCUAACUCCGUAUACUAUAGGAUGAACCCAUAUGGGAGUAGCUAGGGGGUGGGGUAAAGGCGCACCUAGGCGACGAUCUCUAGCUGGACUGAGAGGAUGAUCAGCCACACUGGAACUGAGACACGGCCCAGACUCCUACGGGAGGCAGCAGUGGGGAAUAUUGCACAAUGGGCGCAAGCCUGAUGCAGCCAUGCCGCGUGUUUGAAGAAGGCCUUAGGGUUGUAAAGUACUUUCAGCGGGGAGGCGUUACCCGCAGAAGAAGCACCGGCUAACUCCGUGCCAGCCGCCGCGGUAAUAC